rnacentral:rRNA from 1 species
GACGAACGCUGGCGGCGUGCUUAACACAUGCAAGUCGAGCGGUAAGGCCCCUUCGGGGGUACACGAGCGGCGAACGGGUGAGUAACACGUGAGCAAUCUGCCCAUCACUUCGGGAUAACUCCGGGAAACCGAAGCUAAUACCGAAUACGACCACCUCCGGCAUCGGAUGGUGGUGGAAAGUUCCGGCGGUGAUGGAUGAGCUCGCGGCCUAUCAGCUUGUUGGUGGGGUAACGGCCCACCAAGGCUUCGACGGGUAGCCGGCCUGAGAGGGUGACCGGCCACACUGGGACUGAGACACAGCCCAGACUCCUACGGGAGGCAGCAGUGGGGAAUAUUGGACAAUGGGCGAAAGCCUGAUCCAGCAACGCCGCGUGAGGGAUGACGGCCUUCGGGUUGUAAACCUCUUUCAGCAGGGACGAAGCGCAAGUGACGGUACCUGCAGAAGAAGCACCGGCCAACUACGUGCCAGCCGCCGCCGUAAGAC